UCUUUGAUGGUCUAGUGGUCAUGAUUUCCGCUUGUCAUUCAAUGAAUAACAAGUCGCGGGAGACCGGGGUUCGAUUCCCCGUCAGAGAG